rnacentral:pre_miRNA from 1 species
CUGUAUUCUACAGUGCAUGUGUCUCCAGUGUUCAUAAGCUACUGGAGACACAGCCCUGUUGGAAUAAC